rnacentral:lncRNA from 10 species
GGACUGGCUGCUCAAACUCCACAAUUUAAUGAAAAAUCUCAGAUGAUGACUCAGAAAACCUCUAAUGAUCUGAGGAAUAUAUUAAGGGAUUCCAGAGUCAAAGGCUGAUCAUGGAGGGCAUUGAUGAGGGAAGACUUCAGACCGAGUUGCGCUCUUGUCGCCGAAAAUGCAGUGCAAUGGCAUGAUCUCGGCUGACUGCAACCUCUGCCUCCUGGGUUCAAGCGAUUCUCCUGCCUCAGCCUCCCAAGUAGCUGGAACUAUAGGUGUGUGCCACCACGCCUGGCUAAUUUUUGUAUUUUUAGUAGAGACAGGGUUUCACCAUCUUGGCCAGGCUGUUCUCGAACUCCUGACCUCAUGAUCCACCAGCCUUGGCCUCCCAAAGUGCUGGGAUUACAGGAGUGAGCCACUGCGCCCGGCCCACCCACAGCUUCUUGAAGCAUUUUUCCACAAGUUUUAAUGAAAAAGGAAAUGAGAAAUCACAGGAGAAAAACUAAAAUUCAAAGUCCAGUAAACUGGCCAAAUUGGAGUAAUUAAUUCUUAUUAACCAGAAAUGGAACAAGGCUCUGAUAUCUGCAUAAUUUUGAGCUGGAUUUAUCAGGGUAUUUUCCUAGUUUAAUAUACAAAUGAGAUGAGGGACCCUUUAGUUUAGGCCCAAGUUUGCCUGGUGAUCUUUUGUGGCUCCUGUCCCUACAAUGUUAGAUAAUGUUUCCCCC